UUACCUUUUAUGUCAUUUAAUAUUUUUUGUAUUUAUGAUGUUGAUGUCUCAGUAAAAAAAAUAUAAGAAUGCGUUUUAUGUGUACAAAGAGUUGGGCGGCGUGUGGCAACUCCGUCAUCCAUCACUCGCGUGGUCUUUGUUGUCGAGUGCACACGUUCGUCCUUCCGAGCCUUCCGUCCACCGCCAUAAAUCCCCAUCAGCACAAGUUUCGCGGCACCAAGAGGCAGGGGGCGCCGACAAGCCAAGCAGGAUGAACAAGGUUGAAAUGAAGAGGACCGACGCGGGUCACGUCUGCUCCUCUCUGUUUCUCGACCCUCACUUCGCCGGGGUAAAGGAAGGCUGAGAGCGGCCGCCCCCCAGCCUCCCAGGCCCCGCCGCAGCCCCGCCACCCCGCCCCCCGUCAUUCCGCCGCCCUGCCCCGCCACCCCGCCACCCCGCUGCCGCCCCGCCAUCCCGCCGCCCUACCACCCCGCCGCCCCGCUGCCACCCCUUCCACCAUCCAGCUCCAGGGUGUUCGGGCGUUGCAUCGCGUUUCAAGAGGAGAAGCAGAAGCAGCUCCGUAAUGGCGGUGGAUGUUGUGUCGCACUGAGGGACGGGCGGCGGGACAGGUAGCAGGGAGAAGCUGCUACCAAGGACCCUCGCCACAAUGCCUCGAGGGAGGGCGGCGUCUGUGAGCGACGCUGCCUCGGGGACGCUCGCCUGUUGUUGACAGAAGGACCGUCGCUCACCAUGACUCAGCGUCUGGCAGGGUCGCGCGGUGCCUGCUGGCCUCGCUGCCCCCCAAAUAAACUCUCGUCCCUGCGUGGCCGGGGCAGGCAACAAUGGCUUCCUCUAAAAAUCUUAAUUGAAUCAGCGGAUCCAUCGCCGCUGUGGUCACACGGUCUCCGGAUCCAGAAGCAGGGAUUUAUUUAGGAACACACAGCUAGAAACAGAACAGCUCGGGCAAAGAGAGCACCGCCGGCGUGAUACUUAUCCAGGAGAAAAUAAGAUGCGCUUGUCAUUACAGGGAGCGGCACCAUCAAUGAGAACGGGAAGGGAGGGGGUAAGUAAUGUCAUAUGAAAGGUGAGUGUAUUACUAGUGCUUUUAUUUAUCUGUUCAUUAAUCUGCUUAUCUAUUUUUUCCUAUUUAUCAAUUUAUCUUUACAUUUGUUUGUUUACUUAUUAUUACAUCAGUAUACGUCUUUCCGAGGGCAGACAAGU